CAGCUAGUUGGCGAGGUAACGGCUCACCAAGGCAACGACGGGUAGCUGGUCUGAGAGGAUGGCCAGCCACAUUGGGACUGAGAUACGGCCCAGACUCCUACGGGAGGCAGCAGUGGGGAAUCUUGCGCAAUGGCCUAACGGCUGACGCAGCGACGCCGCGUGUGGGAUGAAGCUCUUCGGAGUGUAAACCACUGUUGCCCGGGACGAAUAGCUCGAUUAAUCGAGCCUGACGGUACCGGGUGAGGAAGCACCGGCUAACUCCGUGCCAGCAGCCGCGGUAAUACGGGGGGUGCGAGCGUUGUCCGGAAUCACUGGGCGUAAAGGGCGCGUAGGUGGUUUGAUAAGGGUGUGGUGAAAGUCCGGGGCUCAACCCCGGAUCUGCCGUGCCGACUGUCAAACUCGAGGGCUGUAGAGGCAGACGGAAUUCCGGGUGUAGCGGUGGAAUGCGUAGAGAUCCGGAGGAAGACCGGAGGCGAAGGCGGUCU
rnacentral:rRNA from 1 species